AUUGAACGCUGGCGGCAUGCCUUACACAUGCAAGUCGAACGGCAGCACGGGAGCAAUCCUGGUGGCGAGUGGCGAACGGGUGAGUAAUAUAUCGGAACGUGCCCAGUCGUGGGGGAUAACGUAGCGAAAGCUACGCUAAUACCGCAUACGAUCUACGGAUGAAAGCGGGGGAUCGCAAGACCUCGCGCGAUUGGAGCGGCCGAUAUCAGAUUAGCUAGUUGGUGGGGUAAAAGCUCACCAAGGCGACGAUCUGUAGCUGGUCUGAGAGGACGACCAGCCACACUGGAACUGAGACACGGUCCAGACUCCUACGGGAGGCAGCAGUGGGGAAUUUUGGACAAUGGGCGCAAGCCUGAUCCAGCAAUGCCGCGUGCAGGAUGAAGGCCUUCGGUUGUAACUGCUUUGUACGGAACGAACGGUAGAGCUCUAAUAAAGCUUAGCUAAUGACGGUACCGUAAGAAUAAGACACCGGCUAACUACGUGCC
rnacentral:rRNA from 1 species